UUGAACGCUGGCGGCAGGCCUAACACAUGCAAGUCGCGCGGAUGAAGGGAGCUUGCUCCUGGAUUCAGCGGCGGACGGGUGAGUAAUGCCUAGGAAUCUGCCUGGUAGUGGGGGAUAACGUCCGGAAACGGGCGCUAAUACCGCAUACGUCCUGAGGGAGAAAGUGGGGGAUCUUCGGACCUCACGCUAUCAGAUGAGCCUAGGUCGGAUUAGCUAGUUGGUGGGGUAAAGGCCUACCAAGGCGACGAUCCGUAACUGGCCUGAGAGGAUGAUCAGUCACACUGGAACUGAGACACGGUCCAGACUCCUACGGGAGGCAGCAGUGGGGAAUAUUGGACAAUGGGCGAAAGCCUGAUCCAGCCAUGCCGCGUGUGUGAAGAAGGUCUUCGGAUUGUAAAGCACUUUAAGUUGGGAGGAAGGGCAGUAAGUUAAUACCUUGCUGUUUUGACGUUACCAACAGAAUAAGCACCGGCUAACUUCGUG
rnacentral:rRNA from 1 species